rnacentral:rRNA from 1 species
GACGAACGCUGGCGGCGUGCUUAACACAUGCAAGUCGAACGCUGAAGCUCAGCUUGCUGGGUGGUUGAGUGGCGAACGGGUGAGUAACACGUGAGUAACCUGCCCUCUUCUUUGGGAUAACGCCCGGAAACGGGUGCUAAUACUGGAUAUUCACUGAUUCUCGCAUGGGGGUUGGUGGGAAGGUUUUUGCUUGUGGGGGAUGGGCUCGCGGCCUAUCAGCUUGUUGGUGGGGUGAUGGCGUACCAAGGCUGUGACGGGUAGACGGCCUGAGAGGGUGACCGGUCACAUUGGGACUGAGAUACGGCCCAGACUCCUACGGGAGGCAGCAGUGGGGAAUAUUGCACAAUGGGCGAAAGCCUGAUGCAGCGGCGCCGCGUGAGGGAUGGAGGCCUGCGGGUUGUAAACCUCUUUCGCUCAUGGUCAAGCCGCAGCUUUGGGUUGUGGUGAGGGUAGUGGGUAAAGAAGCGCCGGCUAACUACGUG